AUUGAACGCUGGCGGCAGGCCUAACACAUGCAAGUCGAGCGGACCGGCGGACGGGUUCGUAAUGCCUAGGAAUCUGCCUGGUAGUGGUGGAUAACGUCCGGAAACGGGCGCUAAUACCGCAUAAUAUCAGAUGAGCCUAUGGCGGAUUAGCUAGUUGGUGGGGUAAAGGCCUACCAAGGCGACGAUCCGUAACUGCUCUGAGCGGAUGAUCAGUCACACUGGAACUGGAACACGGUCCAGACUCCUACGGGGGGCGGCAGUGGGAAAUAUUGGACAAUGGGCGAAAGCCUAAUCCGGACAUGCCGCGUGUGUUAGGAAGGUCUUCGGAUUGUAAAGCACUUUAAGUUGGGAGACGUUACCAACAGAGUAAGCACCGGCUAACUUCGUGCCAGCAGCCGCGGUAAUAC
rnacentral:rRNA from 1 species